GGGGUUCUAGCUCUCAGGUAAAUACAGAGUUCAAUACACAGGUGAGUAUUCACAGGGCUAAGCUGUUAGCGUGCAGGGGUUCUAGCUCUCAAGUAAGUACAGUGUUCCAUACACAGGUGGGUAUUCACAGGGCUGGGCUUGUUAAUGUGAAGAGGUUCUUGCUCUUAGGUAAGUACAGCGUUCAAUACACAGGUAAGUAUUCACAGGGCUGGGCUGUUGGCGUGCAGAGGUUCUAGCUCUCAGGUAUGUACAGCGUUCAAUACACAGGUAAGUAUUCACAGGGCUGGGCUGUUAGCGUGCAGGGGUUCUAGCUCUCAGGUAAAUACAGUGUUCGAUACACAGGUGGGUAUUCACAGGGCUGGGCUGUUAGCGUGCAGGGGUUCUAGCUCUCAGGUAAGUACAGUGUUCGAUACACAGGUGGGUAUUCACAGGGCUGGGCUGUUAGCGUGCAGGGGUUCUAGCUCUCAGGUAAGUACAGUGUUCGAUACACAGGUAAGUAUUCACAGGGCUGAGCUGUUAGCGUGCAGGGGUUCUAGCUCUCAAUGUAAGUACAGUGUUCCAUACACAGGUAAGUAUUCACAGGGCUGAGCUGUUAGCGUGCAGGGGUUCUAGCUCUCAAUGUAAGUACAGUGUUCCAUACACAGGUGGGUAUUCACAGGGCUGAGCUGUUAGCGUGCAGGGGUUCUAGCUCUCAAGUAAGUACAGUGUUCAAUACACAGGUGAGUAUUCACGGGGCUGGGCUGUUAAUGCGCUACUCACCACUGAAGAUAUUCAGAGGUCUGUAUUCCAAGCAGAUACGGGUUUAGUCGAUGACUGACGGCUGGUGGGCCUUACAGGUGAAACUGCAAACAAUACUGGGCUUCCCGCCCAGCUUG